GGCUGCUUGCCCCUCCUCUCUUGCUCUCUCCUCUUGCUCCUGCUCCCCUUCCCUCCCUCCCUUCUUCUUCUUCUCCCCCCCCCACCACCCCACCCAUACCCUGAAUAACUUCUAUUCUGUACUAUACAUCAUGCGACUGGUACCUCAGGGGAAGAGAUACCUCAGCAUGGGCCCGCAGAGGACACUAUUCCUUGGCUUUUUGUGGGGCCGCGGCACCGGGUGUAGUCUAGACCUGCUCUGA
rnacentral:lncRNA from 1 species